UUUCCUACGGGGCGCAGCAGUGGGGAAUAUUGCACAAUGGGCGAAAGCCUGACGCAGUGACGCCGCGUAUAGGAAGAAGGUUUUCGGAUUGUAAACUAUUGUCGUGAGGGAAGAAAUUGACAGUACCUCAGGAGGAAGCUCCGGCUAACUAUGUGCCAGCAGCCGCGGUGAUACAUAGGGAGCAAGCGUUAUCCGGAUUUAUUGGGUGUAAAGGGUGCGUAGACGGGAAAUUAAGUUAGUUGUGAAAUCCCUCGGCUUAACUGAGGAACUGCAACUAAAACUGAUUUUCUUGAGUACUGGAGAGG
rnacentral:rRNA from 1 species